CGUGCCAGCAGCCGCGGUAAUACGUAGGGGGCUAGCGUUGUUCGGAAUCACUGGGCGUAAAGGGAGUGUAGGCGGACCGGUAAGUUAGGAGUUAAAUGUACGGGCUCAACCCGUGAUCUGCUUUUAAUACUGUCGGUCUUGAGUAUGGGAGAGGGAGAUGGAAUUCCAGGUGUAGCGGUGGAAUGCGUAGAUAUCUGGAAGAACACCAGUUGCGAAGGCGGUCUCCUGGACCAAUACUGACGCUGAUGCUCGAAAGCUGGGGGAGCGAACAGGAUUAGAUACCCUGGUAGUCCCAGCCGUAAACGAUGGACACUAGUUGCCGGAGGAGUCAAUCCCUUCGGUGACGAAGCUAACGCAUUAAGUGUCCCGCCUGGGGAGUACGCUCGCAAGGGUGAAACUCAAAGGAAUUGACGGGGGCCCGCACAAGCGGUGGAGCAUGUGCUUUAAUUCGAUGCAACGCGAAGAACCUUACCUGGGUUUGACAUGGGGGUGAAAGUUUCCAGAGAUGGAAGCCUUUCCUUCGGGAACACCCCACACAGGUGCUGCAUGGUUGUCGUCAGCUCGUGUCGUGAGAUGUUGGGUUAAGUCCCGCAACGAGCGCAACCCCUGCCCUUAGUUGCCAUCAGGUAAAGCUGGGAACUCUAAGGGGACAGCUUGGUAUAACCAGGAGGAAGGUGGGGAUGACGUCAAAUCAUCAUGGCUCUUACGCCCAGGGCUAGACACGUGCUACAAUGGCAGGUACAGUGGGAUGCCAGCCUGCGAAGGUGAGCUAAUCCCUUAAAACCUGUCUCAGUCCGGAUUGGAGUCUGCAACUCGACUCCAUGAAGUU
rnacentral:rRNA from 1 species